CAAGGAUGUCAAAGGAUUGGAAGCCAGCUGUCUCGUUGAGGGGUAUACAUACCCUUCUUUCAUAUCAAGAGAGGAUCCGAAAAUGACCAGAUUUGCUAUCGAACAUAAUAUCCCAGAUAUAGAUGUCUCUGGGAGGCAUUUCCUAUUUGACAAGAAAUGGAAAAAUGAUAGGACGGAUUCCAAGUUGGAUUUCAGAGAGAGGAGGUUACCCAAACCAAAUUCUUUCAUACCACCACUUCCCCGGGAUUACCAGGUUCACAGAUCCAACCACAUAAACAGACUUGUGCUACACAAAGAAC